AGGGCGAUGUCGUUCCUGGUGAAGCACUCCUCAGCCGCGGACGGGGAGGAUAUGACGACCGCGGGCCGAGAGCCCAAGGAGAGGGAGAGGACAGGGCCAUAGCGGUCGGAGAGGGACUGAAGGGUGCGGUGGACAGGCUCUUUUAUGAGGUGGAGGUGGCCGAUGAUGGGGAGUGAAGGCGGGGCCGGCGGGAGAUUUCUCUUGCUGCUUCUCUGCAAUUUGAAAAGGUAGAGAAGGAAGAGGAGGGAGGUCGCCGAGAGGAUGUACACCCACGUGUCUUCCAUGGACAACAUCUGUUGGAGGCCGCCUUGUGGAGAGAGAGAGAGAGAGAGAGAGAGAUGGAAUGGGUACAGAGACGCAAGGUGUUGCGGGUCUUGAUUUUGGUAUAGGCACCCACCAGCGUGCGCAUAAAAUCAGGGAAAAAAGGAAAAGAUUCUGGUAUGGGUGGAGUUGUUUUCUGGAAGAGCAAAAGAGAUGAGCACAGAAAACUGAUAUCUCCACAGGUUCAUCUUUGUGGCUAGCAAUCAAUUGGGUGCAUUCGUUGAGUUCAAGUGGGGCAUAAAUUGGCCGUGAAACCUUUGACGUUUUCUGCUUUUGUGUUUGGGUCAUAGUCUUAUCACGGGAGCGAAAGGUAUGGCUCCCGCUACCAUCAAAACCCGUGGCUGAUAUUGGAGCUGAGCGUUGAUUGUUUCUCGGGCGCUGUCGUUCAAUAAUUCGCUACCUAAUUCCAAGAAAGAAGUGCCAAGGCUUAUAUUAUACUGUUUAAAUUAUGCCAUUAAAAAAAAUUCAGACUAAGUUUUCCAAUGACAUGUCAUCCACUUUUCUGGAGGUCUGUAGAAUAUUUUGUCAAUUAUAUGAGUUUGGGCCAAAUUUGUAAGUGAAGAAGAAGAUUAUUAAAUUAAUGUUUCGGAUUUGAAUUCGAAUAAUAAUUUGUUAAAUCGAAUUUGUUGAUAAAUUUUUUUUUUUAAAGAUUGGAUGUAACAGUUUUCUUUCUUGGACUUUUUCUAAAGACGUGCAAAGCAAGACAAAAGAAGAAGGGUUUUUUUUUUUUUUUUUGUGACCCAGGGAACCCCCGUACGCCGCUUCGCGACUGGAGUAAACCCUGGAGGGACCCGGCCCACCACCGCUGACCUCGGCCCCUGGGUAAAUCGCGCGUUUGCAUUGAAGCAACGCGGACGCAGAGUCUCGAACUCUUCCCCCUGGCGUGUGGGGUACCAAGCCUUAACCACUACGGCCACCGCGGGCGGUGGUGACAAAAGAAGAAGGGUUAAUACCCUGAAAAAUCCCAAACUGGUACACUUGUGACAAAUUUAUCCAAAACUAUUUUUUUGACCACAAAAAAUCCUAAACUAGUAUACGUUUGACAAAUUUACUCCAAACUGGUACACUUGUGACAAAUUUACCUUUUGUUAGUUUUUAUUAAAUUUUAUUCUCAAAUUAUUAAGUUAAAUGACACGUGAUAGUUAACCAGUAUACCAAUUUAGGACUUUAUGCUCCGUUUGUCACAGUUUACAAUUUUUGUGAUUUUUUUGUGGUAUUAAUCCAAUUUAGCAAAGGGUAUAUUUGUCACAAAUUUACCAUUUUUGGGUUUUUUGCAGUCAAAUAAAUUAAUUUGAGGUAAAUUUGUUAUAAAUGUACCAGUUUAAGGUUUUUUAUAGUCAGUCGGUGUAAAUUUGUCACAAGUAUACCAGUUUGGGGUUCUUCAUGGUCAAAAAAAUAGUUUUGGGUAAAUUUGUCACAAAUGUACCAGUUUGGGGUUUUUCAAGGUAUUAACCCUAAGAAGAAAUAAGAUAUAAAAGAAAAAAAAAAGAAAAGGAAGUUUUUUUCUUCUCCUCCUUUGCAGCUACGAUUUCCCUUGCAAAAGGAAAUAGACCGUGGGGCCUAGAGUCAAAGUUGUUGACUCUGGGCACACCUAUAAUAAUUAAUUAGGAAUUCCCCCUUUGGCGUGAAGCUGCUGCAGCCUUACAAGAGUCACCAAAGUCCUUGCACGUAGAAGAAAGGAAGCAAAUCUCUCUACACAUGGAGCCAAAAAAAGAGCUGGUGGGCCCAGGUCAAAUAUUUGACCUUUGGGCACACGAAUUUCCUUUAUUCUUUUUUUUUUGGUACCCAGGGAACCUUUGCACGCCACUUCGCAGUGGAGAGUAAACCCUGGGGCGCCGAGGGCCCCCACCGCUGACCCCCAAGCGCGGAUAAGUCACGCGUUAUGCAAUGAAGCAUUGCGUCCACGAAGAUUCGAUCUCUCCCCCUCUGCGUUGGGGUAACAGGCUCUCAACCAGCGCGGCCACCACGGGCGUGCAUAAAGUGACUUAAAAACCCUACGAAAGAGAAGAAGCCACGGGCGUCAAGUUGUAGAGAGCCGCAGGCGUUUUUGUUUCAAACUUGAAAGCAUGAUAAUUUUAUGCUGUAAGUUGUUUAUUUAUAAAUAAUUUAAAUUUUUUGUUAAAUUUAGGUGUGGGAAACACUCGAGCAUAUAAAUAAUUAACAAAAUAGUUAUCACACGUAUAUUUCUAUACUUUAUAUAGAGAGAUAAAGAAGAAUAAGUCUCAAUUAUUUAAUUAUCCAUUCCUCACACUUAUUAUUUAAUAUAUAUAUAUAUAUAUAUAUAUAUAUAUAUAUAUAUAUAUAUAUAGACACACAUUCUAGUUUACUAUAUAUAAAUUAUAAUUAUUCUAAGAUAUCUUUCUAACAACAACGGGCAUAAAUAUUAAAUAGAAGUACCGAUUUUAGGACAACUUUUUUAAUAACUUACCCUCUUGUCUUUGUGCCUAUAGUGGGCCUGGUAUUUCCAUCAAUUGUGAUGGCUUUUUUGUCCCUCCAUGUUCAACAAAGCAAGACUUCUUUGAGAUUUUUUUUUUUUUUUGAAUGCUAAGACUUCUUUGAGAGUUAAAAGGGAAGAGAAUGGAAAGAUAAAAAGAUUCCUCAUGUUCUGGAAUAAUUUACAAUUGGACUGCUACCUUGUUGACUCUCUAUCUCACAAUCCUUAAAUUUGUUUAUUUUCUAAUCACCUAUUUGUCAAAUUUACUUUAGGGUCCAAUCAGCACCAACUAGUACAGAACGUAACAUUUUGUCUCACGGGCGACAUUUUCCUCCAUCUCUUGCUCCUUUUCUAUGGAAGUAAAUAUAGAUCGAGUAGUGAUUAGUACUAGUACAUAGGGCAGUAAAGAGUUGGUGGACAAAUCAUUCGAAAAACAAGAUAAAACAGCUAGAGGGACACUCCGUCACCAGAAUUUGCAUCAGAGGAGAGCAUGUUUGAAGAAAACUCAAUCAAUCGUUACCUGUAAUUCCCUUCAAUAGAGUACUAAGAUGCAACAGUUGAACACCAGUGCUAGCAUCCGACUUAAUGAUGAGCUUUCGAUAAAUAAUUCAAUCCCUUAGCUCAUGGUAGAGCGUUGGGAAGUGCCUAGAAUGCCAAAACACCAUCGUCGUCCCUAUCAUUUGCUAAACUCGAAGACCCAUCUGUGGCGAGAGUCUCCGAUCAUUCCCUCCACACUUGCAUGUCCCAGAUCGUCUUUGCCGGAUCCGGCAGUAUUAUAGCUUGAACCUCCCAAAGAGGGGGUUCGACCCAUUGAUUUCGACAGAGGAGGAGCUAGCCUGCUUCAUGUUGAGGGAUGCGAGGGGCGAGCCGUCCCGCUAUAGAAGCUGCAACGUCGGUGGAAAUGGGAGUGCUUUUUGCAGUCCCAUCGUGAGACGCUUUGUUGUUCAUGUCACACGCCAUAGGGCCCAGAUGGCAAACAAUUUUACGCUCUUUCAGGGGCCUUGACUGAUAAAUUACAAGCUUACGGAUAUUAAUAACAUGUAAACUAAACUAAAAUUCAAAUAUGGUUUUAAAAGGAUUUUGAGCUCGGUCUAUGGGCCAACCAUUGGACACCCAAAUUUUUAAACCAACGGACACGAGUGACACGAUACUCAUUACAUGACUUCAAGUAAUACAGAUCAAAUUCGUUCGAGUUAUCAUGUUAAAGGAUCUCCAUACUAUAAUCUUUCAAGAAAUUAACCUUAGUCCAUUAAUUAUUUAGGGAUGCUAAAAUUGUACACUUCUUAAGUUUUUCAUGUCGUAUUUAAACCCAUCAUUUUGCAAUGUUUUGGACCUCUUUUGUCUACCUGUGAAUUCCAUCAAACUCUCAUUUUGGAACGGAUUUCAACAAGGCAUGAUAACUCAGUAUGCCAAGCCAACCAUAUCUGUUACCGGUGCAACAACAAAUGCCCAAAAUAGAGAGAGGGAUGAACAAUGUUGCCAGUAUCUAUAUAAACCAUCAUUUUUCUCCUAAGAGAAAGGCCUAAAGCUGCAUUGGCCUCCUCAGGAUGCUAUUGAUGCUCACGAUCAUUCCUAAAGUUGCACUGGCCUAAAGCUGUAUAGUCGCUCCUAUUUUCAGUCUAUUUGAUUAUUCAAAAACAUUGGAGAUACAUCACCAAAGUAAAUUCAUUAGACAACGACCUUCUUAAAGGUGCGCAAGAACAUUAGCUAUCAUGCAUUUACGCGCUUUGCACAAGGCCUCCAAAGGCUCUCUCUUGGGCAUUGUGAGUCCCGUCCCCUCAGACAAGUCCACCAAUUCUUCGCCAACUCGUUCCCAUUCGAAGCACUGAAUAAGCGCUGCCAGGGCCAAGCUCACCACUCUAUUGGCAAGGCCAGCACCGGGACAACUUCUCCUCCCCAUGCCAAACGGCAAUAGUCGGUAGGCAUGAUCACCUUCCAAUCCAUCGUACCUCUCCGGUUUAAAAUUUGUGGGAUCGUCCCACACUUUUGGGUCUCUCUGAAUUGCCCAUGCAUUAACCAGGAUCAUGGUGCCUCGGGGCACGUCAAACCCACCAAUCGUGCAAUCCUCAGCAGACUCAUGAGGCACUAGGAGUGGCGCCGGUGGAAACAAUCGGAGCGCCUCAUUGAUGAUAUUAUGAAGGCAAGGCAGCUUGUGGGUGUCGGCUUCAUCAACUAGACGGUCUCGGCCAACAAUGUCGUCUAGUUCUACUUGAGCUUUUUUCAUGACGUCCAGGUGGUUGAGCAAGAGGGACAUGGCCCAUUCUAUUGUCACCGCAGAUGUGUCUGUACCCGCACCUAUUAUUGACUGCCGAAAAUUGUGUUUAAGAAAUUAAGGAUAUACUCAGUUCUUUCAAAAAUAGAUGAAACUAGCUUUCAAAAUCGAAGAACAAUCAUGUUAAGAUGUGAAGAGGCAAAUGUAAAAGGAAUAGAUUCAGUUUAAGUAAAGUGCAAACUCUAUCUGUUUCAUGCAUCAUCUAGACAUAGAAGUGUUUCAAAUUCCAAUUUCUAUUAAUUCGAGCUAAUGUCAACCUCUGCCAGAGGAUGGCGUGGAAAAGAUCUUGCCUCCUUGCCACCAUUAUAAAACGAAAUUUGCCUCCGAACGGCAUGACUUUUCACCGUGUCAAUUUUCCACCGCAGCUUGUCGAUGAUGGCAAGUUAUUUUAGACAACAUACUUUUCUAUGGUUCGAACAGCUUGAAUCCAUCGAAGUUGCAAAAACAUGCGUAAGUUCAAGGAAAAGAAAAUGAGGAUCCCAGUUAAGCCAUUUACUGCACACACGACUAAAGAUCCAUGGACUUGACUAAUUGACAUUUUUACGAGCUCUUUCUUUCUGACCUAUCUCCUCUUUCAUCUUUUCAAUGAACAACAAUCUAGAUAGCAGCUACCAUUCAAGAAAGAAAAAAUCAGGUAUGAUCCCGAUUCACAUGAAUCAUUAGAUGUGAACGCAACUCACAUCCACAGUUGGAUGAGAUGAACCCCAGAUGAGGCCCAUGUGAUUUAGCAUAAGCAUUGGGUUCACAUCGAUUCGAAUCAUAAUUUAAAGGGUAAGAAACAAGACCCUAUUACUCAAAAUAAAAAAGAAAAAUAAGACCUUUCAGAGCAUAUACAAUACUGAAGGACACUAUGACUAAUACAUGAAACCGGUUUCGAACUCUAUCAAGCAAAGUCAAGUAUAUUUAAAUUAACAUCAAUUGUCAGAUUUGUGGUAUCCAAACAAAACAAGUCAUUGCUAACAAUCCUAAUUCAUAUAGAUACAUGUAUACUUUGAUUCUAAUCCGUCAUCCAGGUGUAAGGAUUAAAGAAAAAUCNNNNNNNNNNNNNNNNNNNNNNNNNNNNNNNNNNNNNNNNNNNNNNNNNNNNNNNNNNNNNNNNNNNNNNNNNNNNNNNNNNNNNNNNNNNNNNNNNNNNNNNNNNNNNNNNNNNNNNNNNNNNNNNNNNNNNNNNNNNNNNNNNNNNNNNNNNNNNNNNNNNNNNNNNNNNNNNNNNNNNNNNNNNNNNNNNNNNNNNNNNNNNNNNNNNNNNNNNNNNNNNNNNNNNNNNNNNNNNNUAUGCUAGCAAAAUCUUUUUUAUAUAAUCAACACGUCAUUUUUAAUUAUAUUAAAUUUUUGUAAUCCUAUAUAUUAAGUAAAUUUAUUUAUUAAAUGAAGGGUAUGAGUUAGAUUCAACCGAAUCCAAUAAUUAAGAAACAUGGCACUCUGUAUGCAUAAAUCAAGUGAAUAGAACAUGUACAUUGAUCUGGCCUUUGAUGAUGUCGUCCGAGUAGCCCUCCGAGAGCAUCGUCUCGAUCAUUGUCUUGCUCUCCUCCUCUCGGCUGCCGUCGGCAUCGCUUCUCUUCCUUCUCGACCUGUGUUCGUCUAUCAUCCCCUGCAAGAUCACAUCGGACCUGUUGGCCGCGUCCACCAUCCUCCGCUCUCUACCCUUGAAGUCCACCACCUUCCUCAGCACCGGCAAGAAAUCGCCCGGGUCCGUUCCGCUCAGCUCGAAUUCCUCCUUUAUCAGCUCCAAUUCCUCCUUUAUCAGCUCCCUGUACUCCCUCGCCACCUCGGCGUCGCCAGCGUCGACGGCGGCCCCAGAGUAGCGCUUCCCAGAGAUCAUCCUCAUGAUGAUGUUGAAGGACAUCUCCUGCAGCCUCGAACUCAUCUCCACCCUCGCAAAACCGCCGCCCUGGGAGGAGGAGGCCGCCUCGUAGAGGCUCCUCAUGAGGUGCCUGACCUCCUCCUGCCGGAUGGCGAGGGAGCCGGUGAGGCGGUGCGGCGAAAGGAUCUCCACGGCCGUGAGGCGGCGGAGGUUGCGCCAGUGGGGGCCGUAGGGGGCGGUGCCGAUGUUGGUGUUGCCGUAGGCCAUGAUCUCGCCCGCGAGCGUGCGGGGGCGGUUGGCGAGGGCGAUGUCGUUCCUGGUGAAGCACUCCUCGGCCGCGGACGGGGAGGAUAUGACGACCGCGGGCCGAGAGCCUAAGGACAGGGAGAGGACAGGGCCAUAGCGGUCGGAGAGGGACUGAAGGGUGCGGUGGACAGGCUCUUUUAUGAGGUGGAGGUGGCCGAUGAUGGGGAGUGAAGGCGGGGCCGGCGGGAGAUUUCUCUUGCUGCUUCUCUGCAAUUUGAAAAGGUAGAGAAGGAAGAGGAGGGAGGUCGCCGAGAGGAUGUACACCCACGUGUCUUCCAUGGACAACAUCUGUUGGAGGCCGCCUUGUGGAGAGAGAGAGAGAGAGAGAGAGAGAUGGAAUGGGUACAGAGACGCAAGGUGU
rnacentral:lncRNA from 1 species